CCUUAAAUUUUGGCUGGAUGUGGCUGGAUGCCACUUGUUGGCAGCGCUCACUGAGAGCAACAGAUGCUCCUCCAAGCCCGUUUCUACCGGAAAGCCCAACGAGCCAGGUUCGACCGUCUUUAUCCAAAGGAAGAGUAGUGGAGCUCAGAGAGUGUCUGGACUGGAGUAGAGACUAGAAGAUUUAGAUGCAGUCAGAGAGAGAAAGGAGAGAGCGGAAGGCAAGAGGAUUAAUAAAGGAAGGAGAGACUAGUCUGUCCUACGGACAACAAUUUCUCGUGGGUAGGACCAUUUGCCUAAAUACUAUCCACGGCAAUUGAACGUGCGAGAAAGAGGGAAGAUCCAUUUAUUUGACCAGAGGCCAGAAACUCCCUGUUGACCGGAGCAAUACAUUACACGAAUUCCUAAAGUCAAUACAGGCAAAACUCAAGGAGAGAGAAAGAGAUGGAAGAAGGAAAAAAAUUAAUACCGACUCAGUGUAUUUCAAAUUACACAAAUUCUUGUACUGCCAAUUUAAUUGUGCAAAGCCUGACCCCACGUACAAGAAAAGAGGGCUCAACCGAUACGUACGCACAGUUUAUAUCAGUAGAGAUCAUUAGGGGAUGUUUUGACAUUAGCAUAAGGAGCAUGAGGAGGUGUGUAAAAUGCGUAAUAAUUUCACUGGCAACAUAAACGAUCCAAUCGGAUUACGUGAGGCGUAGGCCAGCAUAAUAUAAAAGGGGGAUGAAAUCCGCCAUGGGAUCUAUCCUGCGAGACGAAAAGGAGAGAGGGUAGUUUACAGGCGGUAAAGGGUGUUAAAAUGGCUUGGCAAGUGAACGGAUGAGACUGACAUUGGGAAGGGGUGGGCAUAGAGAAGGACAGAAGAGGUUGCACGUAAAGUAGGACUGCGUGGAUCUCACACGUAACGCUCUCCAGUCUUUCCGUAUACGUAUGAGGACAUGGAAGCGCACGUAUGAGCAUAUACGAUCGUACACACCUCGACAGGUGUCAGUAUCCCUCUGAGUCUACAUCCCUGCACUCCCUUCAGUAAGCCCUGGUACGUGCAUUUCUCAACGCGUGUAUAAGCCAAAGGGACAUGCGUGUCCCACGAAUGGCGCCCGGAGAGAGGCAACUAUAUACCUAGAGAGGGUUGAGACUCGGGGUUGCAAUCAAUAGCAACGAGUUUCUCGUGUAGUGGGACGCCGCGCCGCGCGCGACCUCUCUCCCAAUCUACCUACAGCAAACCAAGCAAAGCUUACUCUCUCGUCGAGAGAGAGAGAGAGAGUGUGUCUAGGGAAAAUUGUGGGAUAUGCAGACAGAGGAAAGGGGAGAGCUCUGGAACCCAUAAGGAGGAGACUUCGUCAUGAGAUAUGAAGACGUCCCAAGGGAUGCUGAAGCAUGGACCGGGAGGCGAUUCUAAGGACAUUCGAGGAUUCUGAGAGGGUAGCAAUUGUCGGGGCAAGAGCGGUAAUUGAUGAGAGUAUCGGGUGUUCCUGGAUAAUUUGCUGAGACCUCCCAUCGACUCGUACGGGUAUUCGGUAAAUUAACCUUAUUUUUCAAUUUCCCCAUCGCCCAGAACGUCGAGGAGCGUCACCCUGUCAGACCUGAAUGUCAAUCUCGUGCCCAUAGCUAGUUCAUCCUUAAAAAACCCAAUGACCCCUGACCUGCCCUUUACUUUAUCGUUCGCAACUUCUCCUUCCUUUUCUCUCAACAAAGAUUGCCUCCAUUUCUGUUGGCGAUCGGCAUUAAUAAAAAAAAUCAAUAGCCGCCAUUCCCGUAUCGAAAGCUAUCGCGCAGGGUGCACUAUGCACCCCGUGGAUUUUCCCACCCCUCGUCAAAUGACCUCUCGCUGAGAGCUGAGUGCCCCUAAAUGCGAUCUAUUUACCCUGAAACACCAUAGACCCCGGAGCCUACGGGACGCCUCUGCACGGUCACCCAAAGUCCAGUUCCUUGCUCCUGGCUUUCUUUUAUAUUUUUCUCACGAGGUAUAUGUAAUACUACCCCCUCGCACUCGUUCUACCCCUAUACUUGUAGACUUUCUAUGGUGCAAUUUCCAAUCAACGGCUGAAAGUGUCUGGUCCCCGUGAUGCAAUAACAGGUUACAGAAUGUCCAAAUGAAAAAGUUGCCAGGAUUUUCAGAGCUGGAAAUGAAAACGUCAAGGAUUAGGGGGUGUAUCGUGAUGGUUAUGAGAGACGGAGGGAGACAGAAAAUUGAGAAUCUUCUGGCCACGGACGAAAAGGGGGAUGAGCCUCAGAAAAUUACAGAUGAGAGCGGAGACUAUAAGUCGGGGAAACUCUUGGCUGGUUUUCCCUCUAGCGGUGUAAUCCACAAAUUACUAACCUAACCUAGAAGUGACUCAAGGAGCCAACAUCGUUCCUGCGCAUUCAAACAAGACAUAGAGUGCUGGCUGUUGAAUCCUCCCUAGAUACGCCAUCGGUCCUCUCUGGUAUUCCACGUGGGAGCGCCUAUUCAGGAUGGUAUUAGGAACGUCAGGAUUGGAAAUAGAUAAUGCUUCACUCAUCCCAUGUAUUCCACUACGAUUAGCAAGCCCAUAAUUACUAUGGGGUUCUGGACACAAACAAGCAGCCAUUAUCAGGCAAAAUAUUUGUUAUGCGUAUAUCGACGAUCCGAAAGCUUCGAGUGUGAUAAAUGCGUUAUUGCUGCUGGACAGUCUACCUUGUACUUCAAAUUAAUUCAUCCCUUAAGUGACACCCUUUCACUAAGGAUCAUCAACUUCAUCCGGCAAGUAUCUCAGAGUCCAUAAAAAGUCACCCUAGGACUCAGUACAAGCCCGCAGCCCUGUAGAGUUCAUCCCCCAGGAAGAAGGAUGAAGGUCGAGCAAAUUCGUGCACAGCCAAUAAGAUAUUUUAUGAGCCAGGAUUCGAGGCCCUUUUCAUUAAGGCUUUACUGCUCGCUAAAUAUUGCCAAACGGCCAAGGGCCCAGUGUGCCUUCAAGGCGAAAUAAAUCCAAGUAGGAUGAAAUGAUCAUGAGCAAGGACCAAGAAGGAUCAACCGAGAAGUGAUUGGAAGGCAAAGAAACAGAAUUUACAAGGUAAACGAUAAUCGAUCCACAGUGAAGUCUAAGUGACAUGGCGAGUGUCUUAAAGGGCCAGUUAAAGGUGUCCACGUAAGCCAGUGAGGGCUCAGGAGGAAGCAAGCCGUUAAUGGAGGUACUUCCUGGAAAGGAAAUGCACGUCGGAAAGGAGUGUCCCAAUGUCAGGAUCCCUUGCAGUACAUCAGUUACUUACGUUCUAUUUUCAAAGGAAAGAAAACAAAAAGAAAGAGACACCUUAAACCCCAUCUAUCGGCUUCCACCAUACGAGGAGUACGUCGUCCUGAUGUAGGCACACGCAUGCCUAGACGCAAAGAAUUGGAGGAAGAGGAGCAAGAGAGCGAAGUGAGGAAGGAGAGAAGUGAUGAGAGAAGAGAUGGAGGAGAAGGAGGAGCGGGCGUCCAGACGGCGACGUCGACGUCGACGGCGCCGAGGGUAGUGCUAACUAGCACCCCUAGUACACCCCCGGGUACACCCUCGUCGCGUAAAACCUCCUAGCACACCCACGCCUUUAUUAAACGUCCCGUCUACUCGGUAUACGUUUGCUCUCGUAAAAUUCAACGUGUGUGCUCUCUCCUACUCGUGCUCUCUCUUUGGUAUCUCUAACUUCCUCUCGUAUAGUCUCUCUCUCGCUCUGUUAUACAUCUCCGUACUACUUGAGAAAAUUUAUUAAAAUCCUUCUCUCUCUCUCUCUAUCCGGUUAACCGCUCGUACCUCGGGCGCCGUCUACAAGAAAUAAGGGUGGAACGUGUAAGGGUGUCUUUCUAGGCUCUAACCAUUAUCAGAGAUCGAAUCAACAGUGGCUAUCGACUACUGAUUAUUGAUUAACCACUGAGAAUUGAAUGAGCAAUUUUUAUACGCAAUAUCGGGCUGUCCUUCUCUUACGCACGUAACUACCCGUUAGAGCCUCUCUCUUGCACUCACAGCGAGUAUAUAAGAAAUAACAAAAAUUAUAUGUAAAUAAAAUAUGGUGAUUUUGUAGCACUGUCCACUGAUACUGCUUCCGUACGGAAGCGCCUAAUGGAACAAAUCUUUAACAAAAUCAAGGAGGCUCUAUAAGGGUUCAUGAUGCUAGCGGAUAAUGAUUGAUACUAAGUAUAUACCGGAUGACGGCUCCUCGACGUUGGGAAAAAUGUGACGAGGCCAGAUCGUCGGCGGGAGGAUUGGAGGAGCUACCAUCAACAUGGAUCCUGUAGGACUCAGUGAAAAGCGGAAGGUCCAUAUAUAUACAUUCUUAUAGGAAUACUACGUAGAUAUCAUGCGGAUGCUGCAUUAUUUGCUGGACCAUAGUAUCUCUCUGCUUCUACUAUAGUAGACUAUACUAUAACUACCAGGGAAAACAUGCAUUGUAGUCAAAAGGAGGAGUUCACUAUAGCAUCAUCUAAAAUUGAUUUAUGCGAAAAGGAGCCAUAAAAAUACCGGAUACCCUUGUGCUGUUUCAUUAUCAAAUAUGUCUGAGCCAAUUACCGCGCACCCAUGGCAAAAACUCUGAGUAUACUUUUGCGUAACGCUAGGUUAAGUUUAGUGAGGAGUAUAUAUUAGGUUUCAAAGAUAAAACCGGAAAUAGAUAUUGAAUAUUAAUAAUAAAAAAAAAUUACC